rnacentral:rRNA from 1 species
AGUGAAUAGAUACCCUGGUAGUCCACGCUGUAAACGAUGAGUGCUAGGUGUUGGGUAGCGAUACUCAGUGCCGAAAGUAAACACAAUAAGCACUCCGCCUGGGGAGUACGGUCGCAAGACUGAAACUCAAAGGAAUUGACGGGGACCCGCACAAGCAGCGGAGCAUGUGGUUUAAUUCGAAGCAACGCGAAGAACCUUACCAAGGCUUAACAUCCCCUUGACCGGCACAGAGAUGUGCCCUCUCCUUCGGGAGCAAGGGUGACAGGUGGUGCAUGGUUGUCGUCAGCUCGUGUCGUGAGAUGUUGGGUUAAGUCCCGCAACGAGCGCAACCCUUAUCCUUAGUUGCCAGCAUUUAGGUGGGCACUCUAAGGAGACUGCCGAUGAUAAAUCGGAGGAAGGUGGGGAUGACGUCAAAUCAUCAUGCCCCUUAUGUCUUGGGCUACACACGUGCUGCAAUGGUCGGUACAAAGGGCAGCGGAGGAGUGAUCUGGAGCAAAUCCCAA